rnacentral:piRNA from 1 species
AAAGGGAAAAGGAAUUGGAGAGU